rnacentral:lncRNA from 1 species
GCCGACGAUGGCGGAGCUGGAGCAGUUCCUUCAACUAGCUCACGCGGGGUGAGAUCCCGUGCUCACUGAAAUUCUUCCCUGUCACUUCUUACCGCUUUCAUGUGGGAGUAACGGCUCGACGGCACGCUGCCGCGGCGGCCCAGCGGAACGCACACAAUAGGAGCGCCAAGAAGGUUGACAAAACAUCGGAGGCCUAUGGGAAGGUGCUCAGCUUUGAUCUUGCUUAAUCUUUUC